GACGAACGCUGGCGGCGUGCUUAACACAUGCAAGUCGAACGGAAAGGCCCUGCUUUUGUGGGGUGCUCGAGUGGCGAACGGGUGAGUAACACGUGAGUAACCUGCCCUUGACUUUGGGAUAACUUCAGGAAACUGGGGCUAAUACCGGAUAGGAGCUCCUGCUGCAUGGUGGGGGUUGGAAAGUUUCGGCGGUUGGGGAUGGACUCGCGGCUUAUCAGCUUGUUGGUGGGGUAGUGGCUUACCAAGGCUUUGACGGGUAGCCGGCCUGAGAGGGUGACCGGCCACAUUGGGACUGAGAUACGGCCCAGACUCCUACGGGAGGCAGCAGUGGGGAAUAUUGCACAAUGGGCGGAAGCCUGAUGCAGCAACGCCGCGUGCGGGAUGACGGCCUUCGGGUUGUAAACCGCUUUCGCCUGUGACGAAGCGUGAGUGACGGUAAUGGGUAAAGAAGCACCGGCUAACUACGUGCCAGCAGCCGCGGUGAUACGUAGGGUGCGAGCGUUGUCCGGAUUUAUUGGGCGUAAAGGGCUCGUAGGUGGUUGAUCGCGUCGGAAGUGUAAUCUUGGGGCUUAACCCUGAGCGUGCUUUCGAUACGGGUUGACUUGAGGAAGGUAGGGGAGAAUGGAAUUCCUGGUGGAGCGGUGGAAUGCGCAGAUAUCAGGAGGAACACCAGUGGCGAAGGCGGUUCUCUGGGCCUUUCCUGACGCUGAGGAGCGAAAGCGUGGGGAGCGAACAGGCUUAGAUACCCUGGUAGUCCACGCUGUAAACGGUGGGUACUAGGUGUGGGGUCCAUUCCACGGGUUCCGUGCCGUAGCUAACGCUUUAAGUACCCCGCCUGGGGAGUACGGCCGCAAGGCUAAAACUCAAAGGAAUUGACGGGGCCCCGCACAAGCGGCGGAGCAUGCGGAUUAAUUCGAUGCAACGCGUAGAACCUUACCUGGGUUUGACAUGGAUCGGGAGCGCUCAGAGAUGGGUGUGCCUCUUUUGGGGUCGGUUCACAGGUGGUGCAUGGCUGUCGUCAGCUCGUGUCGUGAGAUGUUGGGUUAAGUCCCGCAACGAGCGCAACCCUUGUUCACUGUUGCCAGCACGUUAUGGUGGGGACUCAGUGGAGACCGCCGGGGUCAGCUCGGAGGAAGGUGGGGAUGACGUCAAGUCAUCAUGCCCCUUAUGUCCAGGGCUUCACGCAUGCUACAAUGGCUGGUACAGAGAGUGGCGAGCCUGUGAGGGUGAGCGAAUCUCGGAAAGCCGGUCUCAGUUCGGAUUGGGGUCUGCAACUCGACCUCAUGAAGUCGGAGUCGCUAGUAAUCGCAGAUCAGCAACGCUGCGGUGAAUACGUUCCCGGGGCU
rnacentral:rRNA from 1 species